UUUUCACCUUAUCUUCUCACUUCUUCACGGCCUCACUUCUUCUUCCUCACCCCCAAAUUUUUUCUUCACCGAUUCACAAUUAUGAAUCCCAGAUUUUGUUUGAACCUCUUUAUCUCUUCUAAAUCCCAGAUUUUGUUUCUCCCUCUUUAUCUCUUCUAUAUCCCAGAUUUUGUUUCUCCCUCUUUCUCUCUUCUAAAUCCCAGAUUUUGUUUCUCCGUCUUUCUCUCUUCUAAAUCCCAGAUUUUGUUCCUCAAAUCAACCCCAACCACUCAACUAUGGAUUACGAAGCAUAUCGUUCUCGUGGAAACCGCUCCACCCAAAACCAACAAGAACCCAAUGGUUCUGGGUCACCGAUUCAAACCCCCUCCGCAAGAGUCUCGGGAUCGCCUACAACUGCCUCACCUCGAAUCCUAAUGACCAUUGAGGAUUUCGUUUCUUAACCAGGACGAGAACUUAUCCCAAAACUUCAUCCCAACUACAUUGGAGAUACUACAUGGUUUGAGGCAUCUGGAAACGGCAUUAGCAAAUCUAUAAAUCGGAUGAUGUAUGGACUCCUCAAAGAACCUUAUGAAACAUACUCCUCAAUGCCAAGUGAUGAUCGUGACCUUUGGUUGAAACAGUUUGCGCAAGAUUUUAACUGGGAGCCACAAAUGACAUCUAGAGUCCGUCGAGAGUUUGACAAAGAGGCAGCGACUCAAUAUUCCAACACGUUAAGUGAGUGGAAGAAAAAGUGGAAGCGCGUAGAAACUCCAAAGGGAAUAAACGACAAGGUGUACGAAGGUUUGCAAGAGUAUUGGGCACAUCACAAGACAAACGAAACUGCUACCCAGAAAUCUAAGAACUGGAAUAGCAUUAGAGGUGGCAAAGGGCGAGCAACAACACAACGUCGGGUCAACAAGCUUCUAUACCCAUGAACUACAACUUACUAAAAGAGAUGGUGUUGCUCCUGAUCACAUAACAUUGAUGGAAGACACCCACACAACCAAAAAGACCAAGCAAAUUCAAGACCCUUUAGCUAAGGAAGUGAUUGCCAAUACUCGUAAGAGGAUGGAGAAGUAUAGCUUAUCCCAACCUUAAGUCGAUGAAAAUGGCUUACCAACACCAAUCCUCGUCGACAAGGAAACUCCACAAACCAAGGGUUGAUUCUUUGGAUUAGGAAAAGUUGCUAAAAGACUAUGUACUGGUUUAUCAUCUUCAUCACCAUUAUAUGAUCGUGAUCCUGAACUUUUGCGUGCCCUCCAAGAGAAAGAUGACCGAAUAGAAGCUCUUGAGAAGAAAGAGAAUGAGAGGAACAAGCUGAGAGAUGAGGAGCUUGCUUCGUUCAUGGCAGAGAUGCGAUCUAAGUUCCCCGUGAAUUCAAGUUCUUAGAUAUAUAAGACUUACAAUAUUUAAGUUUUAUGGAACAUUUUUUUUUUGAUUUGUUUAUAUUACAUUUUCUUUUUGUGGAU